rnacentral:rRNA from 1 species
CAGUUCGGAUUGCAGCCUGCAACUCGGCUGCAUGAAGCUGGAAUCGCUAGUAAUCGCGGAUCAGAAUGCCGCGGUGAAUACGUUCCCGGGUCUUGUACACACCGCCCGUCACACCAUGGGAGUAGGUAAUGCCCGAAGUCGGUGACCUAACCGGAAGGAAGGAGCCGCCGAAGGCAGGACUUAUAACUGGGGUGAAGUCGUAACAAGGUAAC